rnacentral:rRNA from 1 species
UACAGAGGGUGCUAGCGUUGUUCGGAAUUAUUGGGCGUAAAGAGCGUGUAGGCGGAUCGGUAAGUCUGUCGUGAAAUCCUGAGGCUCAACCUCGGACGUGCGAUGGAUACUGCCGGGCUAGAGGAUGGUAGAGGCGAGUGGAAUUCCCGGUGUAGCGGUGAAAUGCGCAGAUAUCGGGAGGAACACCAGUAGCGAAGGCGGCUCGCUGGGCCAUUCCUGACGCUGAGACGCGAAAGCUAGGGGAGCGAACAGG